rnacentral:rRNA from 1 species
CAAUAGCGUAUAUUAAAGUUGUUGCGGUUAAAAAGCUCGUAGUUGGAUUUCUGCUGAGAACGACCGGUCCGCCCUUUGGGUGUGUAUCUGGCUCUUUCUUGGCAUCUUCUUGGUGAACGUUGCUGCACUUGACUGUGUGGAGCGCUACCCAGGACUUUUACUUUGAGGAAAUUAGAGUGUUUCAAGCAGGCAUACGCCUUGAAUACAUUAGCAUGGAAUAAUAAGAUAGGACCUCGGUUCUAUUUUGUUGGUUUCUAGAGCUGAGGUAAUGAUUAAUAGGGAUAGUUGGGGGCAUUCGUAUUUAACUGUCAGAGGUGAAAUUCUUGGAUUCGUUAAGGACGGACUACUGCGAAAGCAUUUGCCAAGGAUGUUUUCAUUGA